UUGAAUCUUUCUUGAAUUUGCUCCUCCAACUUGAAUUCUUUGUACUUGUAACUUGGGCCAAUGAAGUGUGCCUUUCUUCCAACUUUUCUUGAGAACUUUUGAGGCCUUCUUGCAUUCUUCCAACUUGCUAUGUUCCUUGCAAAACAAUUUAUCUUUCUUCUUGCAACACAACCAUUAGUAAUUAUACUUCAAGAUUUUGUGAUCAUCAAAAUCAAUCUUUGGAUCGGCAAUCUCCCCCUUAUUGAUGAUGACAAAACUUGGAGUAUAUGCAAUAUAAAAUAGAAUGUGUUCUAGAACUAAUGCAUAGCCAAGUUGCAUGAAGUAGAAAAUAUAUAUCUGUAAAAUAUACUUCAUGAUAAUGCUUUAGAUUUAAUCAACUU
rnacentral:lncRNA from 1 species